AGCUUUGUGCUGGGCGCAAUGGCGCAGCUCAUGAGGUUCUAACCGAUGCGCGUCAAUUGUUAGUUGAAAACUAUUUUUAAUUGAGCUUGAAUCGAGCUCAAAAUUGAGCUUGAAUCGAGCUUGAAAUUUAGCUUAGUUUCGAGUUUUAA